UUUUAAAAUCGGCGAUAAAGCAUGGGGUGUUUUAGGGCGUGGCUAUGAUGUGAUUGACAGUUCGCGGCCUGUCACUCAUGACAAGAGGUUUAGCAAAGCUUAUCCAAGACACGUCAACUUCAUUUUGGAGUUUGACCAGCUUUCUUCGUAGUGACUGUAAAACUUUGGUUGCCUUGUUCAGCGUUCGGUUGGACGACAAGACACUCAAAGGACUCGGCAGUUCAGUUUUUCUGACAGCCACCACCACUGGACCCACCACUAGCCGGCCUACUAUCUUCCUCUGACGGACCCGCUCCUUCCCAGAAAGCACCGACCCGUUCUCCAUCCUGGAAACUUUGACGUGCUUUUCCCCCCUCAAAAACCUGGACCUAAAAGUUAGCACUUUAUAAAUAUGUAUAAGGCAUAUAAUGGAGAUAUUUUAUGUAUAGGAUUAAACUGUUAGUAUUAGA